AUUGAACGCUGGCGGCAUGCCUUACACAUGCAAGUCGAACGGCAGCACGGGUGCUUGCACCUGGUGGCGAGUGGCGAACGGGUGAGUAAUACAUCGGAACAUGUCCUGUAGUGGGGGAUAGCCCGGCGAAAGCCGGAUUAAUACCGCAUACGAUCUACGGAUGAAAGCGGGGGACCUUCGGGCCUUGCGCUAUAGGGUUGGCCGAUGGCUGAUUAGCUAGGUGGUGGGGUAAAGGCCUACCAAGGCGACGAUCAGUAGCUGGUCUGAGAGGACGACCAGCCACACGGGGACUGAGACACGGCCCCGACUCCGAGGGGAAGCAGCGGUGGGGAAUUUUGGACGAUGGGGGAAAGGCGGAUCCAGCCAUGCCGGGUGUGUGAAGAAGGCCCUCGGGUUGGAAAGGGCUUUUGGCCGGAAAGAAAUACGUUGCCCUAAUCGGGGCGGGGGAUGACGGUACCGGAAGAAUAAGCACCGGCUAACUACGUG
rnacentral:rRNA from 1 species